rnacentral:rRNA from 1 species
GACAGAGGUGCCGAGCGUUAGGCGGAAUCACUGGGCUUAAAGCGUGUGUAGGCGGACUUCUAAGUACCUUGUGAAAUCCCACGGCUCAACCGUGGAACUGCUUGGUAUACUGGUUGUCUUGAGCCACUUAGGGGCAGUCGGAACAGACGGUGGAGCGGUGAAAUGCGUAGAUAUCGAGAAGAACACCGGUGGCGAAGGCGGCCAUCUGGACGGUGACUGACGCUGAGACGCGAAAGCGUGGGGAGCAAACAGG